CUUUUGCCUUCGGUUGGGGCUGCUGUUUCUCUUCGCCGACGGUGACAGGGCUUUCCCUAUGUUGCCCAGGUUCGUCUCAAACUCCUGGGCUCAAAAGAUCCUCAUCUUCUCAAGUGGUUGAAUAUACACGCUCCAGCGACCAUGCCUGGCUGAAUGAAGAGCUUUGAGAUUUUGAAGAAACAGGAACCAUGAAAUUUGCUUUGCAACUGUUUGCAACCUUUAAGGAAGACUGAAAAGGCAUUCCUGAAGCAUGUGCCUUCAGCCGCUACAAGAGCAGAAGCAGUGGGCAUUGGAUGGAGCUGAGUACAGGACCAUACAGGCUAAUUGCACCGGCACAGGAAUCGGAUAUAACAUCAUCUGGGUACCCAUGGCCAGCUGUGACUUCUCCAUCCGCACCUACACCUAUGCAGACACCCCUGAUGAUUUCCAGUUGCACAACUUCAGCCUCCCAGAGGAAGAUACCAAGCUCAAGAUACCCCUGAUUCACCGAGCCCUGCAGUUGGCCCAGCGUCCCGUUUCACUCCUUGCCAGCCCCUGGACAUCACCCACUCGGCUCAAGACCAGGGGAGCGGGGAAUGGGAAGGGGCCACUCAAGGGACAGCCCAGAGACAUCUACCACCAGACCUGGGCCAGAUACAUUGUGAAGUUCCUGGAUGCCUAUGCUGAGCACAAGUUACAGUUCUGGGCAGUGACAGCUGAAAAUGAGCCUUCUGCUGGGCUGUUGAGUGGAUACCCCUUCCAGUGCCUGGGCUUCACCCCUGAACAUCAGCGAGACUUCAUUGCCCGUGACCUAGGUCCUACCCUUGCCAACGGUACUCACCACAAUGUCCGCCUACUCAUGCUGGAUGACCAACGCUUGCUGCUGCCCCACUGGGCAAAGGUGGUACUGACAGACCCAGAAGCAGCUAAAGGCCUGUGUGGGUUCCAAGUUCUGGGAGCAGAGUGUGCGGCUAGGCUCCUGGGAUCGAGGGAUGCAGUACAGCCACAGCAUCAUCACAAACCUCCUGUACCAUGUGGUCGGCUGGACCGACUGGAACCCAUCAUUGUAGACAUCACCAAGCACACGUUUUACAAACAGCCCAUGUUCUACCACCUUGGCCACUUCAGCAAGUUCAUUCCUGAGGGCUCCCAGAGAGUGGGGCUGGUUGCCAGUCAGAAGAACGACCCGGACGCAGUGGCACUGAUGCAUCCCGAUGGCUCUGCUGUUGUGGUCGUGCUAAACCGCUCCUCUAAGGAUGUGCCUCUUACCAUCAAGGAUCCUGCUGUGGGCUUCCUGGAGACAAUCUCACCUGGCUACUCCAUUCACACCUACCUGUGGCGUCGCCAGUGAUGGAGCAGAUACUCAAGGAGGCACUGGGCUCAGCCUGGGCAUUAAAGGGACAGAGUCAGCUCACACGCUGUCUGUGACUAAAGAGGGCACAGCAGGGCCAGUGUGAGCUUACAGCGACGUAAGCCCAGGGGCAAUGGUUUGGGUGACUCACUUUCCCCUCUAGGUGGUGCCAGGGGCUGGAGGCCCCUAGAAAAAGAUCAGUAAGCCCCAGUGUCCCCCCAGCCCCCAUGCUUAUGUGAACAUGCGCUGUGUGCUGCUUGCUUUGGAAACUGGGCCUGGGUCCAGGCCUAGGGUGAGCUCACUGUCCGUACAAACACAAGAUCAGGGCUGAGGGUAAGGAAAAGAAGAGACUAGGAAAGCUGGGCCCAAAACUGGAGACUGUUUGUCUUUCCUGGAGAUGCAGAACUGGGCCCGUGGAGCAGCAGUGUCAGCAUCAGGGCGGAAGCCUUAAAGCAGCAGCGGGUGUGCCCAGGCACCCAGAUGAUUCCUAUGGCACCAGCCAGGAAAAAUGGCAGCUCUUAAAGGAGAAAAUGUUUGAGCCCA
ensembl:lncRNA GBA1LP glucosylceramidase beta 1 like, pseudogene